rnacentral:tRNA from 1 species
UCCCUGGUGGCUCAGAGGGUAAAGCGUCUGCCUGCAAUGCAGGAAACCCGGGUUUGAUUCCUGGGUCGGGAA